UCAUGCCGGUGCAGGAAGACUGCCUAUGGGUUGUAAACUGCUUUUAUACAGGAAGAAACACUGGUAUGUAUACCAGCUUGACGGUACUGUAAGAAUAAGGACCGGCUAACUCCGUGCCAGCAGCCGCGGUAAUACGGAGGGUCCGAGCGUUAUCCGGAAUCAUUGGGUUUAAAGGGUCCGCAGGCGGUCGAUUAAGUCAGAGGUGAAAUCCCAUAGCUCAACUAUGGAACUGCCUUUGAUACUGGUUGACUUGAGUCAUAUGGAAGUAGAUAGAAUGUGUAGUGUACGGUGAAAUGCAUAGAUUUUACACAGAAUACCGAUUGCGAAGGCAGUCUACUACGUAUGUACUGACGCUGAGGGACGAAAGCGUGGGGAGCGAACAGGAUUAGAUACCCUGGUAGUCCACGCCGUAAACGAUGGAUACUAGUUGUUGGGCAUUAGCUCAGUGACUAAGCGAAAGUGAUAAGUAUCCCACCUGGGGAGUACGGUCGCAAGACUGAAACUCAAAGGAAUUGACGGGGGCCCGCACAAGCGGUGGAGCAUGUGGUUUUAAUUCGAUGAUAACGCGAGGAACCUUACCAGGGCUUAAAUGUAGUAUGACAGGACUAAAGAAUA
rnacentral:rRNA from 1 species